rnacentral:lncRNA from 1 species
GUAACACAAAAUAAUACUUGAGAUCAAAAUGACAGAGUAAUGAUCAGCAGCAAAAUACAGACUCUCUGGGACCUUGAAUCCAGACACACAGAAAAUAACAACUUGGAAAAGAGAAAAAGAAAAGCGUUAGAUCUCCAGGAAUUGGAAAGAAACUGAACAUUAGAAACUGCAGAGAAGCUGGACUAAUGGAGCACAAUGCAGAGGAAAGAAUGAAGCAAACGGGAGAGCUCACUCUGGCUCCUGGGGAGAGGAACCUAUCUCUACAGACACAAGGAAUCACAGCGGGCCACAGGCUUUGGGGAGUUCUGAGGAGUAAAAGGUCCAGUGCCACUUACUUGAACAGAGACCUCUGGGAGGAAACGAGUCUCUCGGAGGGAGGCCUUAUGGCUCAACUUACGGCUCUCUGUUCUGCAGCAAUACCUCCAGAAAGGCCCCAAGGCCUAGUCAAUUCUCUUUCUGCACACGUUUCAUGCAUCACCACGGAAUUAAACUGUAACCCUGUGCCACACCUGGACAUCUCCUGACACAAUCAGGGAAAGGCUCCAGACCCCCUUUCCAGUCAGGCCCUCGUGACCUCGUCAGAGGAGCUCCCACCCGCAAAAGAGCUCCCAAGAUGCCUUUGUAAAUCCUCGCCUCCUAACCCUAAGCUGAGGUCGCUAACCCUCCUUCUGGCUUUGCUAAGACCCCAACUCCUCUCCAGCUGUUUCCCUCUAUAUCUUAGGACUCUGCCUAAUGUAAAAUGACAAGAG